rnacentral:rRNA from 1 species
GAAACGUGGACUAACAUCCCAUGACACUCUAGAGCCGCAUGGCUCUAGAUUUAAAAUUCCGGUGGUACGGGACGGGCACGCGCGACAUUAGGUAGUUGGCGGGGUAAGGGCCCACCAAGCCGACGAUGUCUAGGGGUUCUGAGAGGAAGGUCCCCCACACUGGAACUGAGACACGGUCCAGACUCCUACGGGAGGCAGCAGUGAGGAAUAUUGGUCAAUGGGCGAGAGCCUGAACCAGCCAAGUCGCGUGAGGGACGAAUGGUCUAUGGCCUGUAAACCUCUUUUGUCAAGGAAGAAUAAGGAUGACGAGUCAUUCGAUGCCAGUACUUGACGAAUAAGCAUCGGCUAACUCCGUGCCAGCAGCCGCGGUAAUACGGGGGAUGCGAGCGUUAUCCGGAUUUAUUGGGUUUAAAGGGCGCGUAGGCGGGACGUCAAGUCAGCGGUAAAAGACUGCAGCUAAACUGUAGCACGCCGUUGAAACUGGCGCCCUCGAGACGAGACGAGGGAGGCGGAACAAGUGAAGUAGCGGUGAAAUGCAUAGAUAUCACUUGGAACCCCGAUAGCGAAGGCAGCUUCCCAGGCUCGAUCUGACGCUGAUGCGCGAGAGCGUGGGUAGCGAACAGGAUUAGAUACCCUGGUAGUCCACGCCGUAAACGAUGCUCACUGGAUCUUGGCGAUACACAGCCAG